rnacentral:rRNA from 1 species
GACGAACGCUGGCGGCGUGCUUAACACAUGCAAGUCGAACGGAAAGGCCCCUUUGGGGGUACUCUAGUGGCGAACGGGUGAGUAACACGUGAGUAACCUUCCCUUGACUUCGGGAUAACUUCAGGAAACUGGGGCUAAUACCGGAUAGGAAUCCUUGCUGCAUGGUGGGGGUUGGAAAGCUUCGGCGGUUUUGGAUGGACUCGCUGCUUAUCAGCUUGUUGUUGGGGUAGUGUCUUACCAAGGCGUUGACGGGUAGCCGGCCUGAGAGGCCGACCGGCCACAUUGGGACUGAGAGACGGCACAGACUCCUACGGGAGGCAGCAGUGGGGAAUAUUGCACAAUGGGCGGAGGGCUGAUGAAGAAACGCCGCGUGCGGGAUGACGGCCUUCGGGUUGUAAACCGCUUUCAGAAGGGGCGAAGCUUGUGGUGACGGUACCUGAAGAAGAAGCACCGGCUAACUACGUG